UAAGGAAUAUUGCACAAUGGGGGGAACCCUGAUGCAGCAACGCCGCGUGGGUGAUGAAGGCUUUCGAGUUGUAAAACCCUUUACUGUGGGAUGAGGAAGGACAGUACCACAGGAAAAAGUCUCGGCUAACUACGUGCCAGCAGCCGCGGUGAGACGUAGGAGGCAAGAGUUAUCCGGAUUCACUGGGCGUAAAGGGCAAGGAGGCGGUUGGUCAAGUUGGGCGUGACAGAUCUCUGCGUAACUGAGAGAGGUCGU
rnacentral:rRNA from 1 species